UACGGGGGGGGCAAGCGUUGUUCGGAAUUACUGGGCGUAAAGCGCACGUAGGCGGCUUUGUAAGUUAGAGGUGAAAGCCCGGGGCUCAACUCCGGAAUUGCUUUUAAGACUGCAUCGCUAGAAUUGUGGAGAGGUAAGUGGAAUUCCGAGUGUAGAGGUGAAAUUCGUAGAUAUUCGGAAGAACACCAGUGGCGAAGGCGACUUACUGGACACAUAUUGACGCUGAGGUGCGAAAGCGUGGGGAGCAAACAGG
rnacentral:rRNA from 1 species